GCAGAAACGGGAGGUGCACCCAGGAAGCCCUGAGGCCUGGGAGACCCAUCUCCAUGGAGCACCCCACGAGGCAAGCACAGCACUCAGGCUCACCUGGGGCUGUGCCCCCUGACAGGUCAUGAGGGCCCUGAGCUCAGCACUGCUGCUGCCCCUCGUGGGGAACGCUGCUGACUGCAUGGAUCGUUGUGAAGAUGAAGCGAGAUCAUGGACAUCAAUCACUAAGCACAAUUUCCUGCACACAAUACAUCAGAUGUUGCAAGGAGCUUAUUUAAAGAAAUGGAAGUUUAUCGUCAUGUCAAUGCUGUAUCUUUGAAGUUUUUGUGUGUGUGUGUUUUUUUUUUUUAAAGCAAGUAAUUCCCAUAAAAAUGGAACUCAAGGAGAAGGGAUAUCUCUUAAAGAAAUAACAGAGAUGGGGUCUUGCGAUGUUGCCCAGGCUGGUCUCCAAUUUCUGGUCACUGAGGAGCAAAGAAGCAAAAUGGAACAGAGGUGGCCUACGGUCAGAGAGUUCAUGGAAAUUUGCUGGUCCUGCCUUGAACACUCAGACCUGAAGCACACAUUCCUUUGCAUGGCUGCAGUAAACAGCAGCAUCAAGAUCCAGGGUUGGAGACCACUCUCCAGUAUUCUCCCGGCCUCCUUCAAUAGUGAUGCAUCUUAUUCCUCAAAGCAGCCAUGACGGUUCAUUCUUCAGAUCAAUAACUGCCUGCAUAGCUAUGUGCAACUGUGUCUUAGGCUACUCCACAGACUACAGUUGUUCUCUUAAUGUCAAGAACACAUUCUUGCAUGAUUAUUGGAUUAAACAAUUGUCUUCUA
rnacentral:lncRNA from 1 species